rnacentral:lncRNA from 1 species
AACAGCAAUCACCUGGGGAUGUGAGAUGUUAGAGCAACACUGGCUCCAUCAACAGGUGGACCACAGGUGGAUCCAUCUAUAGAUCUCAAUGCAGAGUUAUUCUGCUGUUGUGCAAAGGAAAGUUGUGCGUGGAGCCUUUCACGAGCUCCUCCUCCUCUGGCAGUAUCACAUGGUUUCAUCUUUUUGCAUGAAUGGAUUCUUGAGGUUAGAAGUUGCUCAGCUGUUUGAAUUCUCCAGAUUUUUUAUAUUCUAAGUCAAUUUUGAUAUUCAGUAGAUCAAUCUUAAUGUUGUGAAACAAAUGAACAUGCAUAUUUAAUAACAUCUUACCUAGAAAAUGUCCUUAAAUUCAUGCCAGUUGAGGGGGAACUAUUUAGUAAACUCAACAUGGCUGCUGCUUGGUUUCCCUAGACACAUAUUUUUCAACUUUUUUUCCAACAAAAGGUGCUCACUAGCAAAUGGUCAGUAUGAAGAUUUUUAUAUUUUAUGUGCCAACAUGAGAAAAACAGUUCACCAGAGAUCAUUAAAUUUUCAAGGUCUGCAAUAUGGAAAGAUAAUCCUUAAAAGCAACUGUUCUGGAAGGAGACCAAACUGAAAUGAAUUUACUCUCCAGAAAACUGAACCAGGUGUAAAUGUCUCCUACAGGAGAUGACUCAGAAAGGCAGUGAAUACUCAGUGCAACCCUGUAAAAUGCUUUUUCUGUCAUCCAGAAUGUAUCAACGUGCACACAUUGGAUUUUUUCCUUAAAUAAAUAUCUAGUUGUUGUG